GAUGAUUCAGACGUCCAAGGAAUGCAGCAGUUGGUAAAAUGAAGGCAAUGGAGAUCCAGAAGUUGAUUCUGCCUCAUUUCCUGCCUAGGAGAGAGGACUGGUCAGCAUGACAAAGCCUGGCGGCAAACUUUCUCCUUCCUACUCAGAAUUGAAAGAAAAGGUUGUAGAUUCCUUCAAGAUUAAUAGCAAUCAGGUUUGAUUGGGGAAGACCUCCUGAAGAUCUUGGAUACAGAUAUAAAGAAGUAAACCAAGAAAAACUACAAGACAGAAGAGUGUAACAUGGCCUGGAAGAGAAUCAAACAACAAUGUCAGCUGGGGAAACAGCACUGGAAAGCCAUCCCUGAGAGUCAUACCUUCAGCCCACAAUUUUCUGUCCCAUGCUGGGAUGUCUCCUUGAUGAAACCAGCCAGAAGCAGAGGUCAAAAGAGCCAUGGGUGAUCCAUACAUGCAGAGAAGUGUUGCCGAGUGGACAUGAAGCAAUAAUGGAAAGUAUCCCUGUUCUUCUGUGCCAGGCUUUGUCCUGAGCAUAGGUCCAGAAGUUAGACAUGGUCUGUCUUCAAAGAGCUGUCAGUGAUGUAUACCACAUAUGUCCAGUCAGAAGAGAAUGUUGGAUCCCAUGGGAAUAGAUUAAAAGAUGGUUAUAGGCUGCUAUGUGGAUGCUGAGAACCAAACAUGGGUCCUCUGUAAUAGAAGCAGGUGUUCUUAACUGUUGAGCCCUCUCUCCACCCACUCCUACCCUCAAUCAGAAGCUUUCCGUGUACUCAGGUUACUUGGGUGGUCCUCUUGCACUCCUGUGACUGGCUGCACUAGUACAACAAAAUGCCUGGCACACGCAACUUAAGAGAGGAAAGAGUUGUUUUGGCUUACAGUUUGAAAGGGCACAGUUCACCAUGAUGGAGAAGACACAAUUGUUCUAGGUAGUAAGAGCUUGAAGCUAGGACCUCUCAUAUCUUGGGGGACCAGGAAGCAGAAAGACCUUGGAUUGAAAGUGUCGCCUUGCUGUAGCCUCUCAGGACUGCAUCCCCCAGCAGUGACCCAUUUCCUCCAGCUACACCCAUCCUCCUAAAGGUUAUAUGCUCUCCCCAAACAGUGCCACCAGUUGGGGGGACAAAAUAUUCAAACACACAGGCCUACGAGAAACAUUUCAUGUUCAAACUGACACUGGCCAUGGGAAAGGCAUACUCCGGAGGACUUCUCCAUUUCCUUUCAAACUGAGAAACACGUGGAAAAGCCUGAACUCAGCCCGUAGCCUGGAACACAAGCAGCCCAUGCACCUGCGAGGAAUAAACGCUUGUUGAGGCAAGCCAUGGAGAUUUGGAAGUUGUUUAUUAUCUAGCACCGUCACAGCAAGAGCUCAGAUAAGGUAAAUGAGAAACACCAUUAUUAUUCCAGUUUCCCAGAUGGCAAACUGGAAGCAGAGAAAGGAUAAAUGAAUUGCUUGGGUCUUAGACAAAAUCUGCAUCAGUCCCCGGGGACUCACUUUUAACCACUGUCUACAGAAAAGCACACAGACUAAUUUGUCUGUCACGGCCAAAAUGUGCUUCCAGCAUCCCUGCUCAGCCUCUGGCCCAGACUUCAAUGCUAAGCUAAACUCCUGCAGGAGCCAAGGACGCUGAAAUACACAGCCAAUGAAAGCCUGUUUUCUAGGCUCCAAAGCAGCAACCUGGGAGCCUCAGCUGGAUCAUCUCAUCUGACAUGGAGCACAGGGGGGCCAGCCAGGUGCCCAGGGAAGCCAUGUUCAGCCUGAGUACACAGAAACCAGGUGGCAUUUGCUCCAUUCUUUGUUUUCAAAUUCAGAGGCUGGCAUCUUGAAAGGCAUUAUUUGUGAACUUAUACACAUUUUUGAACACUUAAGAGUUGGGGUAAAAAUACAAAUGUUCAUCACGUGCUUGUCUGUAUGUUCAUAUGUAUGUGAGUAUGUGUGUGUGUGUGUGUGUGUGUGUGUGUGUGUGUGUGUGUGUGUGUGUGUGUGUGAUGUAUGUGUAUGUGUGUUCAUGUGCAUAUACAUGUAUGUGUGCAUAUGGAAGCCAGAGGACAUCCUCAGGUGUUCCUCAAGGACCUUCAUUGUUUUUGAUCCCGGACCUCUCACUGGCCUGGAACUCACCAAAUAUGCCAGCAAAUCCAGGGAUCCAUCUCUUUCCACAUCUCCAGCAGUGGGAAUACAAGUAUGCAUUGCCAUGCCAGGCUUUGUAUAUGUGGGUUCUGGAGGUCAAUUCCAGGCCUUUGUGCUUUCAAUGCAGGCAGUUUACUGACAGAGCUAACACCCAGCCCUUUGUGUCAACUUUUACAAAUAGUGACAACCAACUUGAGGACUUCUGCCAGUUCCCAUUGUCAUUAGAAAGCUUCUCCCACUCCAGAUGAAAUAGGACAGCACUCCUUUGCUGAUUAGGAUCUGGUUAUAAUGUUCCUCAUCUCGUGCAAAUGUUCUGUCCUUGGACAUCUUCCCUGAUUGCUUUCAAGACCAUUGCAACUACACAGAGCUCCCUUCACAUUUUCUUCAUUGUGCUUAUUACAGAUUGGGACUUCAUGUUUAUUUGCAUAAAUAUUUGAUGAACAUUUAGUUGUCUUUAUGGAGACAACACGCUGGUGUCAUUUGUAUGCCAUCUGCUGCCCUGCACCCAGUGUGAAGACUAGCUCAGAGUGAAGUGGCCCAUGAUACUGUUGAGUAAGUAGAUGUGAGAAAUGGAUAAAAUGUGUCUAUCAUUUGCACA